CUCGUAGGUGGCUCUGUAAGUCGGAGGUGAAAGACCACGGCUCAACCGUGGAAACGCCUUCGAUACUGUGGAGCUUGAGGCUGGGAGAGGAAAUCGGAAUUCCUGGUGUAGCGGUGAAAUGCGUAGAUAUCAGGAGGAACACCGGUGGCGAAGGGCGGGAUUUCUGGACCAGUUCUGACACUGAGGAGCGAAAGCCAGGGGAGCAAACA
rnacentral:rRNA from 1 species